rnacentral:rRNA from 1 species
GACGAACGCUGGCGGCGUGCUUAACACAUGCAAGUCGAACGGAAAGGCCCUGCUUGCAGGGUACUCGAGUGGCGAACGGGUGAGUAACACGUGGGUGAUCUGCCCUGCACUUCGGGAUAAGCCUGGGAAACUGGGUCUAAUACCGGAUAGGAGCCAUCUUUAGUGUGAUGGUUGGAAAGUUUUUUCGGUGUAGGAUGAGCUCGCGGCCUAUCAGCUUGUUGGUGGGGUAAUGGCCUACCAAGGCGGCGACGGGUAGCCGGCCUGAGAGGGUGGACGGCCACAUUGGGACUGAGAUACGGCCCAGACUCCUACGGGAGGCAGCAGUGGGGAAUAUUGCACAAUGGGCGCGAGCCUGAUGCAGCGACGCCGCGUGGGGGAUGACGGCCUUCGGGUUGUGAACUCCUUUCGCUAGGGAAGGAGCUUUUUGUGACGGUACCUAGAUAAGAAGCACCGGCUAACUACGUG